rnacentral:lncRNA from 1 species
CUGUUCAAAGAGAGGUUUCAAGGUUGCAGAGGUGCAAAGGUCUCAGUGGUGAGAAAGGUUGUAGAGGUGCAAAGGGGGCAGAGGUGUCCAUCAGUGGAAAACUUCUUUGUAACAUGGAGUUCUUUUUAUUGUAUUUAAUUAAAUAUUAAGUUUAAUAAAAAGUGUCUCCAAUCCUAGUUGGGAUUGGACGUGGAUUAUGCCACUAGGUAGAGGAUAGGGGCUGAACCACGUAAAAAUGUUGGUG